rnacentral:rRNA from 1 species
UUACUGGCUCAGGAUGAACGCUAGCGACAGGCCUAACACAUGCAAGUCGAGGGGCAGCACAAGGAGCAAUCUGAGGUGGCGACCGGCGCACGGGUGAGUAACACGUAUGCAACCUGCCUGUAAGCGGGGAAUAACCCGUUGAAAGACGGACUAAUACCGCAUAAUACUAAAUUACUGCAUGGUAAUUUAUUUAAACAUUUAUGGCUUACAGAUGGGCAUGCGCAUGAUUAGCUAGUUGGAGAGGUAACGGCUCCCCAAGGCAACGAUCAUUAGGGGUUCUGAGAGGAAGGUCCCCCACACUGGUACUGAGACACGGACCAGACUCCUACGGGAGGCAGCAGUGAGGAAUAUUGGUCAAUGGACGAGAGUCUGAACCAGCCAAGUCGCGUGCAGGAAGAAAUGUCCUAUGGAUUGUAAACUGCUUUUGCAGGGGAAUAAAGUGCAUCACGUGUGAUGUUUUGUAUGUACUCUGCGAAUAAGGAUCGGCUAACUCCGUGCCAGCCGCCGC